GGCGUGGAUGGGCGGGGCCUGGCCGUGGGCAGCGGCGGUGGCAGCGGCGGCAGGAGACGAGGGAGGGCGGGUCCGCGGCAGCUGCCUUCGGUCAGCCGGUGUCCGGCGCGGAGCACAGAGGAUGGCCUCGUGGAGGUGAUGUCCACCUGGAACUUCACGGGCUUCUGGAACACUGCCGGGCCCCCCGUCGCCUUGUACUCCGCCCGGAAGCUUGUCUGGGAGAUGACGCUGUGGCUGAGGCUGGGGAUCUGUGGAGUGAUGGAUGGCGGUCCGCAUGUGAUGUGCGUCCCCGGACGGGUGGGAGGCUCACCGACAGGAAGGCGUGAACGAUGUCAGCUUUGAUGGAGCUCAGGGGCUUGUCCUUGAUCACCACGAAGAUCUGCUCCUCCUUCUCCAGAGCGGCCUGGGAUCCUGCCCGAACAGCAGCACAGAAGUGAAGAUAGGGAGGCACAUCCAGCUGGCCCCCCUGUCCCCUCAGUCACCAGCCUCUUCUGCCUCCUUUUCCACAUCGUGCCAUCCUGCCAUCCAUCCACUGUGGGUCUGGCACUCUCGAGGGUGGGCUCCUGCCCUGGCUGUGUUCCUGCCAUGUCCCAGGCCCACCCUGGCCCUGCAGCCCAGCAGCCCAGCAGCCCAGCAAGUACAUGGAGAGGCAAAUCCAGAACCUGCAUCUGGGGCUUCUUCUCCUCCCUUGACGAAGAGACUAGAAUAACACUGAAAUGUGACUUGUUUGUAGUCUGGGAGCCACCGGCUUGGCAUCUGGCAUCAUUAACAGUCCUGUGCCUGGAAGAAGCCUGACGGAGCCAGAGAGGCAGUGCUGGCUGGUGUCUUGUGUCAUCUGGGCCAUCCAGUCAGUGGCUGGCUGCCACUUCUUAAAUGUGGUAGCCAGGUGUCUCCGAGGAAAGCAGACCAUGCUCCCUGCUAUGGUCGGCCUUGUCCAAGCAGGUGAAAGCCUCAGGGGCAAAGGCUGCCGCUUCCCCAAGCUUCACACUCAGGGCUGUGAUUUCACCCAAACCAGAUCUCCACCUGCCGAACCUAUGGUCCCAGACCUGCCAGCCCCCACAAUCACAUGAGCCAGUUCCUAUAAAUACCAGCCCCAUGCGGGCACACUCGUA